rnacentral:lncRNA from 1 species
GUGAAAAUAUGUAAUCAGAAUUAUAAUUCCAUGUAAAUAUUAGUUAGCUGUUAGAACAACAGUGCUGGAAUGAGGAAAAAAAUAUCUAACUGUAAUUUUCCAAUUCCAAGAAUCUAAAUGAAGUAUCCAUUGUUAAGUUCAUUUUAUAACAUUUAUACAUAAAUUUGUGUUAGAACCAGAAUGCCCUGGGAUACUAAGGACUUCAUGUCUAUGAAUUAGUGUAAGCACAACGUAAAUCUAUCUCUCCACCCUGCCACCCCAAAUUCAAAACCUCAUAUUUGCAAUGUUACCACAGACUGGUCUGCCAAAUGUUCAUAUACGUAAGCUUAAGAUAGAGUAUUAUUCAUAUAUAUAUUUUAAAUUUGGAGUAUGUGGUCUCCAGAAAGCCCUUCUCUGUAAAACUUACUUUUUCUAUGUCUUGUUCACUCAUGUAUAAUUAAUUUGUUCUCAUAUAUCAACAUUUCUUUAAGUAGUAGAUCAAACAAAAAACUUAAUUGGGACCCUCAAAAAAACAUAGUGGAGUAUAAAACUAUUAGGCAGUUAUAUGAGAUGAAUCUGUCUAAAUAAUUAUCAUGCCAUUUUUAAUUUAUUUUUACCUUCACAAUGACAUUUUUUCUAUAAUUCAAUAUGAUCACAGCCAGCGUGGGAUAGCAAUCACAUUGGAUACACAGACAACCUCAGUGGGAAAACAAACAAAUAAACAAACAAACGAAACAAAACAGAACCCUGAAUGUACUGUGCAUUGAUGAUGGAAAUGGAAUUUGAACAAUUUAAAAUGUUUAAAGAAUUAAAUAUCAAAUGCCCAUGUAAGGCCGGUCUGCUGGUUUAGGCUUUUGUUUGGUGGUUUGCACCUAUGCCAUGUGAGAAUGUGUUUUGGCAUCUUAGAGCAGAGUCGGCACCAUGAACUCACGGACAAUGGAGGCGGCAAAGCAGCUGGCAGCUUGGAGCUUUUGGGCUGAGAAUAAAAGUGAACACUGGGCACCUACACAGCACCUUAUCACCUCAUCGUCAGCAUCCCUGCAAGUGCUAAUUACUUACUGAGACACAGCUCAGACAGACGAUGAAAUGCAAGAGGCAGGAUAAUGAUCAUGGGAUGUUUGUAAAUGUUUAAUAUCUAGCUUCCUGGCAACAGGAACGGGGACAAAAAUCCUUGAAUGUAGCUUUGGACAAUGUCCGUAUCUAAGACUGACUUCGAGCUACUAAGCUGCUGGCACAGGCAGCAACCUGGAAAGAGAUAAACAAGUUCUGCUUUGGAGUGGAGCCCAUAGAAGCAAAGCCCAGUACAUUUGGAGCAGAGAUUACGUUUCCUCGAAAUAGUGAGAUAACAGCUAUUAUGAACCCUGCUUAAUAGUGGCAUAUUGAGGGCUGCUGUACCAGGAAAUCCGUCUUAGAUGUCCUGUCAGCUUUACAGCAUUUGAAAGAUCUGAAGUAGACAUGUGAGGACCAAUAUUGACUGCCACUUUUACAAGAUAUACAUAGAACUACCUAGUAGACAAACUUCUGGGUUGGCAGACAUAGUUGUAAUAGCAUGUGGCACCCUAAAUGUGAGCAAAACCAUUGCAUGGGCUGUGGUGCAGACUGAACAAAAAGAAAGCAAGUUAAAUAUUCACCACCCAUCUCCCUCUAAGUCUUGAAGGUGGAUAAGUGUGACUAGCUACCCCAAAUCUUUCCUUCUCUAUGACUUUCUUGCAAUGGUGUGCUGUGUGCUAGAAUGGUGGGCCCAGAUAAACCCUUCUUACUUUAAAUCUAUUUUUAAAGAUGAUUCC